GGAUUAGAUACCCUGGUAGUCCACGCCGUAAACGUUGUGUGCUUGGUUUGGGCGGAUUCAACCCCGUCUGAAUCGGAGCUAACGUGUUAAGCACACCGCCUGGGGACUACGGCCGCAAGGCUAAAACUCAAAGGAAUUGACGGGGACCCGCACAAGCGGUGGAGCAUGUGGCUUAAUUCGAGGCAACGCGAAGAACCUUACCUGGGCUUGACAUAUACCUGAUAGCCUGUGAAAGCAGGUUUCCUUCGGGCAAGUAUACAGGUGCUGCAUGGCUGUCGUCAGCUCGUGUUG
rnacentral:rRNA from 1 species